UACGGAGUUUCUUUGUCUGAAUGUUUACUUUGAGAAAAUUAGAGUGCUCAAAGCAGGCUUUCGCCUUGAAUAGUUUAGCAUGGAAUAAUAAAGUAGGACUUUGGUUCUAUUUUGUUGGUUUUAGGUACCAAAGUAAUGG
rnacentral:rRNA from 1 species